rnacentral:misc_RNA from 1 species
AAUAUAAAAGCAAGAAUAAGAUUAUAAAGCAGCCAUAGGUCAUGGGAAUAUUGGUUGCAGUUCAAGAAGCAUCUCACAUGUUACAAAGAACCCGAUCCCAUUGAUUGAAUGGUCCAACAUAGUCAUGUAUCAAUUUGUCUUUUAAACAAGUAAGACCGUUAGACAUCUCACAUGGAUUAAUUGCCCUGGCAGAAUCUUAGUCAAAGAUAACUACAAGGAUCAAUGUGCAUUCCCAUGCAUUUGCCAAUUAUCAAUCAACAAAUACAACCAGCAGCCAAUUUGCUGGUCAAUUAGAGUGGUCACAUAUGCAUCUGUCCACUAAAGGAGAAGAUAGAGUUAAAUUAUUGAAAUUCUUUUGGUGAGCAAAGAUGCACUAUACCCCACUAUUUUUGUGGUCAUCAACCUAAUGUUAGAAAUUAGCGAUUCAGCAAAAGGACAUGAUCUUUUGGCCCAGAUGGCCAAUAGACUCAAUCUAGCGAACGAAACUCUAAAAAAUGGAAAAAAAAAUCAA